rnacentral:rRNA from 1 species
CAGUCGCCACGGGAAUACGAAGGGGGCUAGCGUUGCUCGGAAUUACUGGGCGUAAAGGGCGCGUAGGCGGACAGUUCAGUCGGGGGUGAAAGCCCGGGGCUCAACCUCGGAAUUGCCUUCGAUACUGGCUGUCUUGAGUAUGAGAGAGGUGUGUGGAACUCCGAGUGUAGAGGUGAAAUUCGUAGAUAUUCGGAAGAACACCAGUGGCGAAGGCGACAUACUGGCUCAUUACUGACGCUGAGGCGCGAAAGCGUGGGGAGCAAACAGGAUUAGAUACCCCAGUAGUCCCUGUCUCUUAUAC